GAUGAACGCUGGCGGCGUGCCUAAUACAUGCAAGUCGAGCGAACAGACGAGGAGCUUGCUCCUCUGACGUUAGCGGCGGACGGGUGAGUAACACGUGGAUAACCUACCUAUAAGACUGGGAUAACCUCGGGAAACCGGAGCUAAUAUCGGAUAAUAUAUUGAACCGCAUGGUUCAAUAGUGAAAGACGGUUUUGCUGUCACUUAUAGAUGGAUCCGCGCCGCAUUAGCUAGUUGGUAAGGUAACGGCUUACCAAGGCAACGAUGCGUAGCCGACCUGAGAGGGUGAUCGGCCACACUGGAACUGAGACACGGUCCAGACUCCUACGGGAGGCAGCAGUAGGGAAUCUUCCGCAAUGGGCGAAAGCCUGACGGAGCAACGCCGCGUGAGUGAUGAAGGUCUUCGGAUCGUAAAACUCUGUUAUUAGGGAAGAACAAAUGUGUAAGUAACUAUGCACGUCUUGACGGUACCUAAUCAGAAAGCCACGGCUAACUACGUG
rnacentral:rRNA from 1 species